rnacentral:rRNA from 1 species
GUUCCUACGGGGGGCAGCAGUGAGGAAUAUUGGUCAAUGGUCGGGAGACUGAACCAGCCAAGCCGCGUGAGGGAGGAAGGUACAGAGUAUCGUAAACCUCUUUUGUCAGGGAACAAAGACUGGGACGCGUCCCCGGAUGAGUGUACCUGAAGAAAAAGCAUCGGCUAACUCCGUGCCAGCAGCCGCGGUAAUACGUAGGGGGCAAGCGUUAUCCGGAUUUACUGGGUGUAAAGGGAGCGUAGACGGCAGCACAAGUCUGGAGUGAAAUCCCGGGGCUUAACCCCGGAACUGCUUUGGAAACUGUG